CCAUUCAGAUGCUUGGCCAAAGGUCUGUUCUCCAAAGUAGGAUGUCAUUUUCUAACUUUGUUGUGUUCACAAGGUUUUAAUUCAUAGAGUUGUAAUGUAACGUGCUGCUUUAGCUACCAACAAUUCUUCGUGUCUACUUGAAAAUGCCAACUAGCUCGUGCCGCACUAUUCCGAUCGGCGUGGGCCUUAAGUUGACGUAAACCUUGAGGAUGAACUCGCACUGAAUCGUGCAAAUUUCAUGUUGCUCUUACGACUUAAGUCACAUGUCGCCCACUUUUAAAUACAAAUCAAUACAGCCACCGUUGGAUGAGGCCACAAAGUAGCGCCUCCAUCAGGGUCAGAGCGGCUGGGAGGACUGGGAAACCCCCUGAAAGGUGGGCAGUGAUUCACAGGACACACAUCCAUACACUCGGGCUUUGAGUCAAGUGGGAGGAAAAGGAAGGAAUCCCUCUCAGGUUCUGGGAGCACAUGCAACUCCCAGAAGCAACCCUCCAACCUGUUGUUGUUUUCUUCUGAACAUCUUGGAGAUGCUCCUGUUGAAGGGCACCAUGGUGGACGAGAAGCCACUCCACAUACCGGGAUGAUCAAUGUGACACUGGAAUGUUUUCGAAUCAUUUUCCGGGCAGUUGUUCCUGUCCCCCGAUGAUCGCCCCACCAAUGGCGGUAAAGCAGCAGUGGGCGAAUGUUCGUGCACUGAUCUGUGACAUGACCAGCAACCCUCCCUCCAGGAAAGAAAAAAAGCUCCAUUAGCUCCUGUACCUCCUCCCAUCUCCUCAUUCAGCGUGCACUUCCCCUUUAAAGUAUCAAGAGGAACUGAGCCGGCUCCCCUCGCCGCCUCUCCUCCAGUUUGUGGCGAGGGUUUGAACAGGCAGCCCGUUUUCACUGAAAGGAGAAAAGAGACAAGAAAAGAAUCGGAUUCUUUCGACAUGACCCACUGGAGGAUGAAGAAAGGACUCACGACUGGAAUGUUCGCACCAAGGGUCACUGUUCCUCCUCGGGACUAACGCCUGGCCAACGGGACAGA
rnacentral:lncRNA from 1 species